rnacentral:rRNA from 1 species
GGGUCAGUAGGUUGGUCGUGCCACCGGUACGUACUGGUCUCACUGAUUCCUCCUUCCUGAAGAACCGUAAUGCCAUUAAUUUGGUGUUGCGGGGAAACAGGACUGUUACUUUGAAAAAAUUAGAGUGUUUAAAGCAAGCUAACGCUUGAAUACAUUAGCAUGGAAUAAUGAAAUAGGGCGAUCGAUCCUAUUUUGUUGGUCUCUAGGAUUGACGUA